UUCAAAAGGUAAACUUAGUAUCUUUUUUAACCCUAAGAGGUGCAUAAUAGCACCUUAAAGGUACAUAUUAUUUCCAAAACUGUACGUAUUAGUAGCUAAAUGGUACAUUUUAGUAUGAAAUAUUUGAAAGGGUACUGUUCCAUUUACAACUUUUGUAACUUUUUUUAGGGUGUAGUGUAACUUUUAAAACUCCUCUCCUGGAAAAAAGUAAGUGUUAGGAGGUGACAACUUAGUAUAAAUUCAUACCAUAUCAUUUGUACAAAAACAUAUGAUUUUUAGAAAAACAAUACACAUGAGGGUCCACACAUGAACUUAAUGGUCAAUGGCAGAUUGUAUGAAAAGGUAAAAAUAAGACUGUACAACCUCAUGACUGUGUUGCAAAACCACCUCAAUCUGAAAAUCAGCAGCUUUGUGAUGAUCGUGCACAACUUCUUUGCUGUUCAGAAGCCUUUUUUGUCUGUGAGGGGAGAAUAGUCCUGAGAAACUAAAAUGUAACUGUUGUUGGUGUAAAAUCUUCAUGGAAAAUUGUAAUAA